rnacentral:tRNA from 1 species
GGGUGGUUAGCUCAGCGGUAGAGCAUUGCCUUCACACGGCAGGGGGCACUGGUUCGAUCCCAGUACCACCCA